GGGCCUACCCGGAAAAAGGCCCGAGAAAACCUGUUUUUGAUACAACUUCAGCGCCUGAAAAUGCAGUCUGAUUUUUAUCACAUUUUGCGGACUACGCAAGCCUUUGCGAAAUCAGGGAAGUUAUUUAAUUUGCCGAAGAAGCAGAAUCGAACUUUUCUUGCCGAAAAUUCCAAAUGAAAGAGCUAUGGUGCUUGUCAGAAACAAUACAACCCACAUUUGAUAUUAUACAGGAAAACAUACAACUCAACCACAACAAAGCUGAAAAAGACAAAGACCUAUGACUUGUUUCCAACUAACUUGUAUAUAUUCGUAGAAAUAGCUAUGGUGCUUGUCACAAUAGCUAGAAUGACUAUUGCUGUUGCUAUUAUUCUGUCCCUUCUUGUUGAAAUGCCGUGGAUAUCUUUGCCAAAGGAAAAAAAAAAACAAAUGGUUCAAUUUAACAGCGAAAUCACAAACCAAGAAAACAAGGGCAAUUUAAGUUAAUCUUUUGUUUUUUUCCCCUUACUAUCCGCAUAAGGUGGGUUCGGCAAUACCUUAAAGCAAUUAUGCCUGGGAAGAUGAAGGCAAGACAGAUAGCAAAAGCUCCAAUUUUUUCAGCUUGCCAACCGUGAAAUUUUCCCUCAACAGCUGGAAGAGUUGGGCUUCUUUGGAGCUGCAACUGUCACUCCGUCAGGCAUCAGAGAUGAAGAGAGCUCGCCAGUUUCACGGCGGACUGGUCACUGGCGGAGGCGGAGGAUGUGAGGCGGGACUGGUCACUGGUCAGAAAAGAGGGAAGGAUGUGAGGCCGGUAGAAAAGAGGGAAGAAUGAGACUGGAAGAGCUGGCGGAGGCAGGAUGUGAGGCGGGACUGGUCACGGCAGAGCAAAAGAGAAAAGAGAGUGAGGGGAAAAAGAGAUGUGCGGCGGUGGG
rnacentral:lncRNA from 1 species